UGGUUGAUUUCAUCUCCUUUUCCAG
rnacentral:piRNA from 1 species